rnacentral:rRNA from 1 species
CUAAGGAAUAUUUCCGCAAUGGAGGAAACUCUGACGGAGCGACGCCGCGUGGAUGAUGAAGGUCGGAAGAUUGUAAAAUCCUUUUAUAACUGAGGAAUAAGUGCGUUGAGAGAAACGGUGCAUGGUGACUGUAGGUUAUGAAUAAGCAACGGCUAAUUACGUGCCAGCAGCCGCGGUAACACGUAAGUUGCGAGCGUUGUUCGGAAUUAUUGGGCGUAAAGGGCAUGUAGGCGGUUUUGCAAGCUUGAUGUGAAAUGCAGGGGCUCAACCCCUGGACUGCGUUGAGAACUGCAUGACUAGAGUCGCUGAGGGGCAAUCAGAAUUCCAGGUGUAGGGGUGAAAUCUGUAGAUAUCUGGAAGAAUACCAAUGGCGAAGGCAGGUUGCCAGCAGAUGACUGACGCUGAGGGUGCGAAGGGUG